AACGAACGCUGGCGGCAUGCCUAACACAUGCAAGUCGAACGAGACCUUCGGGUCUAGUGGCGCACGGGUGCGUAACGCGUGGGAACCUGCCCUUAGGUUCGGAAUAACUCCCCGAAAGGGGUGUUAAUACCGGAUAAUGUCUUCGGACCAAAGAUUUAUCGCCUUUGGAUGGGCCCGCGUUGGAUUAGCUAGUUGGUGGGGUAAAAGCCUACCAAGGCGACGAUCCAUAGCUGGUCUGAGAGGAUGAUCAGCCACACUGGGACUGAGACACGGCCCAGACUCCUACGGGAGGCAGCAGUGGGGAAUAUUGGACAAUGGGCGAAAGCCUGAUCCAGCAAUGCCGCGUGAGUGAUGAAGGCCUUAGGGUUGUAAAGCUCUUUUACCCGGGAUGAUAAUGACAGUACCGGGAGAAUAAGCUCCGGCUAACUCCGUG
rnacentral:rRNA from 1 species